rnacentral:lncRNA from 1 species
GGUCGGAUCGAGAGCGGACGUCCACAACACAGAAAAAGUGCGGAAGUCGCUCCUCCGGAGUCAGGAAUGCGGCGAUCGCUGCGCUGCGGGUGCCGGACGCACCCUCUGGACAUCUCGGACGGCCUCGAGCAAGCGGCGAAGGCGAAGGCGAUCGGAAACUCAGUGGUGUGCGGCGAGCUCGCCGGAAACCAUGGAAGCCCAUCGAGCUCGACGUCGAACCCUUCGUCGAUGACUCCACCCGCUUCUGAACUGCUCCACGUCGUGGCCUGGUUCCGUCCGGCAAUAAAAACGUCUCCGUCGCUGUUCGAUCGAGGCAGGAGGAGCG